rnacentral:rRNA from 1 species
CUACGGGCCGCUCCAGUGAGGAAUAUUGGUCAAUGGGCGCAAGCCUGAACCAGCCAUGCCGCGUGCAGGAAGACGGCCCUAUGGGUUGUAAACUGCUUUUAUACGGGAAUAACCAUGAUUACGUGUAAUCAUCUGAAUGUACCGUACGAAUAAGCAUCGGCUAACUCCGUGCCAGCAGCCGCGGUAAUACGGAGGAUGCAAGCGUUAUCCGGAUUUAUUGGGUUUAAAGGGUGCGUAGGCGGAAAGUAAGUCAGUGGUGAAAUCUUGCAGCUUAACUGUAAAACUGCCAUUGAUACUGUUUUUCUUGAGUAUAGUUGCGGUAGGCGGAAUGUGUAAUGUAGAUGUGAAAUGCUUAGAUAUUACACAGAACACCGAUUGCGUAGGCAGCUUACUAAGCUAUAACUGACGCUGAUGCACGAAAGCGUGGGGAGCGAACAGGAUUAGAUACCCCCGUAGUC